GCACGUCCCUCUCCGGUGUCUGUGGUGCUUUUUGUCAGUCUGGUGUCAAUCCAGAGCGAGACUCCCAGCUGUUAACGCUCUCUCCGCCGAAAUCCACUGCGCUGCCACCACACACACCCACCCGGGAGAGAGAGUAGAAAUGAUCUUGCUCUCCCACGUGUGGGGUGUGUGCUCAGUUGUGUGUGUGUGAUGCAUGGAUCUUACAACGAAUCGCUGCAACCUUUUUUCUAUCUGAAUUUUGGGGGGAAAUGCUGCUUGUUAUGCAAAGACAAUUCCAUGCCACGCGGAUGUCUUAAGGUGAAGUCUGCCCAAAGGCAAUCAGAAUCUGGAAGGCACAAUUUUGAGUCCCUGGCUUCAGCCCAUGUGCAGAUGGCACAGAUACAGCGGGAGAGCAUCACCCUCAGACACAAGUGUGCUUCUGAAAGGUUCCGGAGACGCAGCACCGACGCGACCCCAGUGGACCAGCACCUCAGACAGGUGGAGGACAGUCGCUUCCACCCGUACUUUCGCCAGUACAGCGAUGGGGCCACAGCUGCCGCCUUUCCCUGCUUCCAGGGCGCUGAGGUCCCAGCAGCUCUGAGCUGCACGUUCAGCAGCUCAGACCCAGAGGAGAACCAGGCCGCCUGGACUCUCACCGGUGGAAACCUUCAGACGUCCUCCUUCCUGGUGCGAUCCCACCCUCUGUGUAGUUUCGAUGCUGUUAGAUGCAUGCUAGUCGGUAUAAGAAGAGCGGAAAGGGCUACCUGGUCAAAUGACUGCUGCAGUGAGGCAGGUACCAUCAUGCCCAUGGCAGAGCGAUUCCACGGGACCACCACAGGUGUCACGUGUUCCUCCCAUACAUUGCUGAUUUACAGCAUGGCCAGGGGCAC
ensembl:lncRNA